GUUGAUUCUGAGCUCCUUUUCCUGGCGUUCCCCUUCCGCUCCUCACUGCGUUCAGUCUGAUUUUAGAGUGGGGCUGGUGGCAUCGAUAUUGCGGCAAGUGUGUGGUGGAGUUCACUUACAGUAAUGGUGACAAGCGGAUGUGUGAAAGCUAUCGGGUACGUUGAGUCACGACACUUGUUGGAGUAACCAUAUAGCU